rnacentral:tRNA from 1 species
GGAGAGAUGGUUGAGUGGACCAAAGCGAUGGAUUGCUAAUCUGUAGUACGAAUUAUCCGUAUCGAGGGUUCGAAUCCCUCUCUCUCCA